rnacentral:misc_RNA from 1 species
UGAGAUCUUUGUUAUCGGAGGCGAAAGCCAAUCCUCCCCUGUAAUGCACCGUCCAUGUGAGCACAAGAGCCGUGACUACCAACCCCAGCAACCUGACUACAGCGAAGAUUGGGAAUUUGAUCACCGGAACUCCCAUUGUUUUGACUCUAAUUGUAAUUGCAGGUAGAAAAGGGAAAAAGGGCGAAGACAAAGAAAGAGAGAGGAAUAUGUAGAUUUUGUAAUUAGGGUUUUUGAGUUGAAUUGGGUAUUGGAUCCGUGCUUUGCUUUGUUUGCUGGCAGAUCAUAGAAGGACGUUUCGAACCAGUUUCGAACCAUUUUCAAAAUUUUCAACUUAGUGCCAGGUGAGUUCCUCGGUCCCACUCGGACCAUUCACAGUUCUCCGAUCCACGUUUGCUUCGCUGCGUUUCGAUCAUAGGGAAAUUCAUUUUUUCGGUAACACGCCUUCGAUCACUAAGGCUGCGUAAAUUUG